rnacentral:rRNA from 1 species
CGCGUAGGCGGCUUAGCAAGUCAGAUGUGAAAGCCCCGGGCUUAACUCGGGAAUUGCAUCUGAAACUGCUUUGCUUGAGUCCUGGAGGGGAUAGUGGAAUUCCCAGUGUAGCGGUGAAAUGCGUAAAUAUUGGGAGGAACACCUGCGGCGAAGGCGGCUAUCUGGACAGUGACUGACGCUGAGGCGCGAAAGCUAGGGGAGCGAACG